GUUUGAUUUACCUGAUGAUGUUCUCUAUGAACGUUACAGGUUUUCCUCGGACGGCCUCAAUAUUCAGGUAGCAUGAAGUCUAAGCAAUACACUAAAAUUUGCCAAGCUCCAGGUUCAAAUUUGUUAGUCAUCAUUCAGAAUUCAUUGAAGCAGAUUAGAAAACUCUUAACCCCAAAUGUGUCUGCAGAUGACGUGACCAUCAGAUGAUGGAGAAAAAAAAAAGGCAGUGUGAGGAAAUCACUGUUUAUGCGUUGAAAUAUGUACAAAUAAAAUCUUCCAAUAAACUUACAAACUACUUUAAAGGAUGUUUUUAGAUUUAUUUUUAUUUGCUCCCACGUACUCUUUUCCCCACUGCUGUUGUAUCUGAAAUAAUGAGGUCAGUGAUGGUGGUGAUCACACACGCUGCAUGACAAUAUAUUAGGGGGCCAUAAAUUUAUGAACGCACAAAUGUAAUUUACACAACCGGUGAUUUUUUUUUUUUUGCCGGCAGUCCCUCCGGCUUUUAGCGGCUGUGUCUGUCUCACUGUUAAAAUAAAGCUCUGUUCUUCAGCUGUGAAAAAUGACGUGCAGCCUUCUCCAUUGUGGAGAUUGGUCCGGUGGCACUGACCCCACCCCCUUUAGGUGUGCGCGCACAGAUCUGAACUGGAUUCAGUUAUGGAGUUGAUAACCGGCUUCGUAGUACAGCUGAUCGGGAUCGCAGAGAUCCGGUGAAGUUGAGCGAGUUGUCGCAGAGUUAUCCUGGAUUUGUUAAUCCAGCUUCGUAGUACAGGCCUCUGGUAAUGUCUCAGGAUAUAACUAGGUUAUAACCAGGUAAUGUCUCAGGUUAUAACCAGGUAAUAUCUCAGGUUAUAACCAGGUUAAAACCAGGUUAAAACCAGGUAAUGUCUCAGGUUAUAACCGGGUUAAAACCAGGUUAUAACAAGGUAAUGUCUCAGGUUAUAACAAGGUUAUAACCUGGUUAUAUCCAGGUAAUGUCUUAGGUUACAACCAGGUUAUAACCUGGUUAUAUCCAUGUAAUGUCUUCGGUUACAACCAGGUUAUAACCAGGUAAUGUCUCAGGAUAUAACCAGGUUAUAACCAGGUAAUGUCUUAGGAUAUAAAUAGGUAAUAACCAGGUUAUGUCCCAGGAUAUAACCAGGUUAUAACGAAGUAAUGUCUCAGGAUAUAACCAGGUUAUAACCAGGUAAUGUUUCAGGAUAUAACCAGGUUAUAACCAGGUUAUAACCAGGUAAUGUCUCAGGAUAUAACUAGGUUAUAACCAGGUUAUAACCAGGUAAUGUCUCAGGAUAUAACCAGGUUACAACCAGGUAAUGUCUCAGGAUUUAACUAGGUUAUAACCAGGUAAUGUCUCAGGAUAUAAUCCGGUUAUAACCAAGUAAUGUCUCAGGAUAUAACCAGGUUAUAACCAGGUAAUGUCUCAGGAUAUAAAUAGGUUAUAACCAGGUGAUGUCGCAAGAUAUAACCAGGUUACAACCAGGUAGUGUCUCAGGAUUUAACCAGGUUAUAAACAGGUUAUAACCUGGUUAUAACCAGGUAAUGUCUCAGGUUAUAACCAGGUAAUGUCUCAUGAUAUAACCAGGUAAUGUCUCAUGAUAUAACCAUGUUAUAACCAGGUAAUGUCUCAGGAUAUAAUCCGGUUAUAACCAGGUAAUGUCUCAGGUUAUAACCAGGUUAUAACCAGGUAAUGUCUCAGGAUAUAACCAGGUUGUAACCAGGUAAUGUCUCAGGUUAUAACCAGGUUAUAACCAAGUAAUGUCUCAGGUUAUAACCAGGCUAUUACCAGGUAAUGUCUCAGGUUAUAACCAGGUUAUUACCAGGUAUUGUCUCAGGUUAUAACCAGGUUAUUACCAGGUAUUGUCUCAGGUUAUUACCAGGUAAUAACCAGGUUAUUACCAGGUAUUGUCUCAGGUUAUAACCAGGAUAUUACCAGGUAAUGUCUCAGGUUAUAACCAGGUUAUUACCAGGUAAUGUCUCGGGUUAUUACCAUGUAAUUACCAGGUUAUUAUCAGGUUAUUACCAGGUAUUGUAUCAGGUUAUAACCAGGUUAUUACCAGGUAAUGUCUCAGGUUAUUACCAGGUAAUUACCAGGUUAUUACCAGGUAUUGUCUCAGAUUACAACCAGGUUAUUACCAGGUAAUGUCUCAGGUUUUUACCAGGUAAUUACCAGGUUAUUACCAGGUAUUGUAUCAGGUUAUAACCAGGUUAUUACUGGGUAAUGUCUCAGGUUAUAACCAGGUUAAAACAGGGUAAUGUCUCAGGUUAUAACCAGGUAAUGUCUCAGGUUAUAACCAGGUCAUAACCAGGUAAUGUCUCAGGUUAUAACCAGGUUAUAACCAGGUAAUGUCUCAGGUUAUAAACAGGUUAUUACCAAGUAAUGUCUCAGGUUAAAACCAGGUUAUAACCAGGUAAUGUCUCAGGUUAUAACCAGGUUAUAACCAGGUAAUGUUUCAGGAUAUAACCAGGUUAUAACCAGGUAAUGUUUCAGGAUAUAACCAGGUUAUAACCAGGUUAUAACCAGGUAAUGUCUCAGGAUAUAACUAGGUUAUAACCAGGUUAUAACCAGGUAAUGUCUCAGGAUAUAACCAGGUUACAACCAGGUAAUGUCUCAGGAUUUAACUAGGUUAUAACCAGGUAAUGUCUCAGGAUAUAACCAGGUCAUAACCAGGUAAUGCCCAGCUCAUAACCAGGUUAUAACCAGGUAAUGUCUCAGGAUAUAACUAGGUUAUAACCAGGUGAUGUCGCAAGAUAUAACCAGGUUACAACCAGGUAGUGUCUCAGGAUUUAACCAGGUUAUAAACAGGUUAUAACCUGGUUAUAACCCAGGUUAUAACCUGGUUAUAACCAGGUAAUGUCUCAGGUUAUAACCAGGUAAUGUCUCAUGAUAUAACCAUGUUAUAACCAGGUAAUGUCUCAGGAUAUAAUCCGGUUAUAACCAGGUAAUGUCUCAGGAUAUAACCAGGUUUUAACCAGGUAAUGUCUCAGGUUAUAACCAGGUUAUAACCAUGUAAUGUCUCAGGAUAUAACCAGGUUGUAACCAGGUAAUGUCUCAGGUUAUAACCAGGUAAAAACCACGUUAUAACCAGAUAAUGUCUCAGGUUAUAACCAGGUUAUAACCUGGUUAUAUCCAGGUAAUGUCUGAGUUUACAACCAGGUUAUAACCAGGUAAUGUCUCAGGAUAUAACCAGGUUAUAACCAGGUAAUAUCUUAGGAUAUAACUAGGUAAUAACCAGGUGAUGUUCCGGGAUAUAACCAGGUUAUAACCAAGUAAUGUCUCAGGAUUUAACCAGGUUAUAACCAGGGUAUAACUAGGUAAUGUCUCAGGAUAUAACUAGGUUAUAACCAGGUAAUGUCUCACGAUAGAACCAGGUUAUAACCAGGUUAUAACCAGGUAAUGUCUCAGGAUAUAAUCCGGUUAUAACCAGGUAAUGUCUCAGGAUAUAACCAGGUUUUAACCAGGUAAUGUCUCAGGUUAUAACCAGGUUAUAACCAUGUAAUGUCUCAGGAUAUAACCAGGUUGUAACCAGGUAAUGUCUCAGGUUAUAACCAGGUAAAAACCACGUUAUAACCAGAUAAUGUCUCAGGUUAUAACCAGGUUAUAACCUGGUUAUAUCCAGGUAAUGUCUGAGUUUACAACCAGGUUAUAACCAGGUAAUGUCUCAGGAUAUAACCAGGUUAUAACCAGGUAAUAUCUUAGGAUAUAACUAGGUAAUAACCAGGUGAUGUUCCGGGAUAUAACCAGGUUAUAACCAAGUAAUGUCUCAGGAUUUAACCAGGUUAUAACCAGGGUAUAACUAGGUAAUGUCUCAGGAUAUAACUAGGUUAUAACCAGGUAAUGUCUCACGAUAGAACCAGGUUAUAACCAGGUUAUAACCAGGUAAUGUCUCAGGAUAUAACUAGGUUAUAACCAGGUAAUGUCUCAAGAUAUAACCAGGUUAUAACCAGGUAAUGUCUCAGGUUAUAACCAAGUUUUAACCAGGUAAUGUCUCAGGAUAUAACCAGGUUAUAACCAAGUAAUGUCUCAGGAUAUAACCAGGUUAUAACCAGGUAAUGUCUCAGGUUAAAACCAGGUUAUAACCAGGUAAUGUUGCAAGAUAUAACCAGGUUAUAACCAGGUAAUGUCUUAGGAUGUAACCAGGUUAUAACCAGGUAAUGUCUCAGGUUAUAACCAGGUUAUAACCAAGUAAUGUCUCAGGAUAUAACUAGGUUAUAACCAGGUAAUGUCUCAGGAUAUAACCAGCUUAAAACCAGGUAAUGUCUCAGGUUAUAACCAGGUUAUAACCAGGUAAUGUCUCAGGAUAUAACCAGGUUACAACCAGGUAAUGUCUCAGGAUAUAACCAAGUUAAAACCGAGUAAUGUCUCAGGUUAUAACCAGGUUAUAACAAGGUAAUGUCUCAGGAUAUAACCAGGUUAUAACCAGGUAAUGUCUCAGGUUAAAACAAGGUUAAUCCCACGUUAUAACCAGGUAAUGCCUCAGGUUAUAACCAGGUCAUAACCUGGUUAUAUCCAGGGAAUGUCUUAGUUUACAACCAGGUUAUAACCAGGUAAUGUCUGAGGAUAUAAACAGGUUAUAACCAAGUAAUGUCUCAGGAUAUAACCAGGUUAUAACCAGGUAAUGUCUCAGGAUAUAACUAGGUUAUAACCAGGUUAUAACCAGGUAAUGUCUCAGGAUAUAACUAGGUUAUAAUCAGGUAAUGUUGCAAGAUAUAACCAGGUUAUAACCAGGUAAUGUCUCAGGUUAUAACUAGGUUAUAACCAGGUAAUGUCUCAGGUUAUAACCAGGUAAUAACCAGGCUAUAACCAGGUUAUUACCAGGUAAUGUCUCAUGUUAUAACCAGGUUAUAACCAGAGGCCUGUACUACAAAGCUGGAUUUGGUCUUAGCGAGAUAACUUCUGGAUAACUUCUGGGUUUUCUGUACUACGAAGGUGGAUCUCUUUUUAUCCGGGUCCGUUGCCCCGGUAACUUACGCGGAACGCCAAACCUGCUCCGGAGCAGGUUAUGUUUCAGGAUAAGAUCUCAGCAGGUAUAAAAGACCGCCCAAUGACCAAUCAGAUCUCUUGGAAAAUGGCUUGCCCACUUUUGCCGGAUCCCGGGGACAUCGUUGCUCGGAUAGUGAGAGGAGCGCUUCGCCGAGAGCGUUAUAUUCAUGAUUGUUCAAAUCUGUUUGAUUUACCUGAUGACGUUCUCUAUGAACGUUACAGGUUUUCCUCGGACGGCCUCAAUAUUCAGGUAGCAUGAAGUCUAAGCAAUACACUAAAAUUUGCCAAGCUCCAGGUUCAAAUUUGUUAGUCAUCAUUCAGAAUUUAUUGAAGCAGAUUAGAAAACUCUUAACCCCAAAUGUGUCUGCAGAUGACGUGACCAUCAGAUGAUGGAGAAAAAAAAAAGGCAGUGUGAGGAAAUCACUGUUUAUGCGUUGAAAUAUGUACAAAUAAAAUCUUCCAAUAAACUUACAAACUACUUUAAAGGAUGUUUUUAGAUUUAUUUUUAUUUGCUCCCACGUACUCUUUUCCCCACUGCUGUUGUAUCUGAAAUAAUGAGGUCAGUGAUGGUGGUGAUCACACACGCUGCAUGACAAUAUAUUAGGGGGCCAUAAAUUUAUGAACGCACAAAUGUAAUUUACACAACCGGUGAUUUUUUUUUUUUUGCCGGCAGUCCCUCCGGCUUUUAGCGGCUGUGUCUGUCUCACUGUUAAAAUAAAGCUCUGUUCUUCAGCUGUGAAAAAUGACGUGCAGCCUUCUCCAUUGUGGAGAUUGGUCCGGUGGCACUGACC